UGAGUAACACGUGAGUGACCUGCCUUUUAGACGUGGAACAACUUACCGAAAGGUGAGCUAAUGCCGGAUGAGUUAUAUAAGUGCAUGUUUAUAUAGGAAAAGUUGGGGAGACCUGACGCUGAAAGAUGGACUCGCGUCCCAUUAGCUAGUUGGUAGGGUAAUGGCCUACCAAGGCGACGAUGGGUAGCCGGCCUGAGAGGGUGGCCGGCCACACUGGGACUGAGACACGGCCCAGACUCCUACGGGAGGCAGCAG
rnacentral:rRNA from 1 species